AACGGUUGUGUCUUUUAAUCGCA
rnacentral:siRNA from 1 species